rnacentral:misc_RNA from 1 species
GAUGAAGAACGUAGCGAAAUGCGAUACGUAGUGUGAAUUGCAGAAUUCAGUGAAUCAUCGAAUCUUUGAACGCACAUUGCACCUCUCGGUAUUCCGGGAGGUAUGCCUGUUCGAGCGUCAUUUGUACCCUCAAGCUCUGCUUGGUGUUGGGUGUUUGUUCCGCCUCUGUGUGUGAACUCGCCUCAAAACAAUUGGCAGCCGGCGUACUUGUUUCGGAGCGCAGCACAUUUUGCGAUCCAGAUCAACGUACAGCGGCAUCCAAGAAGCCUUAUUUAACGCUCUUGACCUCGGAUCAGGUAGGGAUACCCGCUGAACUUAAGCAUAUCAAUAAGAGGAGGA